rnacentral:lncRNA from 1 species
GGACGUCAUUUUUUAAACUGGGGGGAGUAUGUAACGGGGUAAAAAUAUAUAACACUGUAUGUAUAUAUGUUUUAUUUUAUUUGCUACUUAUUUUAUAAUAUUUUAUUAAUGGGUUAUUUCGUUUGUUUUUAGGAUAUUCGUCGUAGAGAAUACCCUAUUAGACAACGCCCUAACCUUUCUUUCCAGUCAAAUUGGAGUUUAGCCAAUGAUAUUUUAUUCUGGUGUCAUGUGACAUUGGUCACGGCUAGUCCGUGCCACAUUCACAUUGAACAGCAAGCCAUCAACACACGACAUAAUUCUCAACUAUUUCUUGAUUAUUUUUUCAUCUUUUCUGCGACGGUUACACAGGAUGAGGAAUUGUCAUUAAUACUCGGCAACCAGUUCGGUCCAUAGCCCACAGCCAAGGACCUUUAUUUGACGGUUGCCAAAUAAACCGAAUCCUACCCAGCAUUGUUGUCUUUCUGAUUUGAGGGAUUUAACCCAAAUGC